rnacentral:rRNA from 1 species
UACGGAGGGUGCGAGCGUUAAUCGGAAUGACUGGGCGUAAAGGGUGCGUAGGUUGUUUUGUAAGUUACAUGUAAAACGCCCCGGGCUUAACCUGGGAAGGCCAUGUAAUACUGCGAGACUAGAGUAUAGGAGAGGGUAGUGGAAUUUCCGGUGUAGCGGUGAAAUGCGUAGAGAUCGGAAAGAACACCAACGGCGAAAGCACUCUGCUGGGCCGACACUGACACUGGAGAGUCGAAAGCUAGGGGAGCGAAUGGG